GGGCUUAACUGUCUCCCCCUUCCAGUCAGUGAAAUUGAUCUAUCCGUGCAGAAGCGGGUAUAAUAUUACAAGACGAGAAGACCCUUUGGAGCUUAAGGUACAAAAUUCAGCCAUGUUAAGCAACUCCACAGAAAGCAAGAACUUAAUGGCCAUGAAGUUUUACCUUCGGUUGGGGCGACCACGGAGGAAAAGCAAGCCUCCGAGUGGACUGGGCCAAGACCCCUAAAGCCAAGAGAGACAUCUCUAAGCCGCAGAACAUCUGACCAAUAAUGAUCCGGCUAAUAAAGCCGAUCAACGGACCAAGUUACCCUAGGGAUAACAGCGCAAUCCUCUCCCAGAGCCCAUAUCGACAGGGGGGUUUACGACCUCGAUGUUGGAUCAGGACAUCCUGGUGUUGCAGCCGCUAUUAAGGGUUCGUUUGUUCAACGAUUAAAGUCCUACGUGAUCUGAGUUCAGACCGGAGCAAUCCAGGUCAGUUUCUAUCUGUAACGCUACUUUUCCCAGUACGAAAGGAUCGGAAAAGAGGGGCCUAUACCUAACGCAUGCCCCACCCCUAAUUCAUGAAAACAAAUAAAUAAAAUAAGGGAGGGCCAAAACCCUGCCGCCC
rnacentral:rRNA from 1 species